UGUUGUUAUAUGCUCUGAGAUUGAUUCUAACGCAAUCUGGCUAAAGAAAUGAGGGUACUGCUGCUUUCAGGGUACUGGUGGUUAAGCCACAUCUUCAUUUGAAGAUGUCCUAUAAAACAAAUGCUCGCCACGACUCAACAGCAAAUGCUUAUAACACGACUGUUCCCUGUCUCUCGGGAAGUACGAAAAGAAUUGUUGGGUGUUCGACUGUUUCCAGGCAUCUGUGCUCAGACUCGAGAAGUAGCGUGUACUAAGAUAGUUCUUCCGGAAGUCAUAGAUAAAGGUCUCAAUAUUGUUGAAGUAGCACAUGAUAAUUAGCCAGUAGUCAAGAAAUUUGUCACUGAUGAUCUCAACCUUACAAACUCGUACGACACAUGGCAUGGCACUAAGAAUGUAGCGAAGAAGAUGAAGAAAGUAGCAAUUGGGACCAAAAAGGCUCAAGGAAAGACGUGGUUUCCAGAGUUAUCUGACAAACGUAAAAGUACGAAAGUUCACUUGUACUACUGUAUGAAGAACUGUGAGCAGUCAGCAGACAAUCUAAGAAAGAACAUUCUGAAUAUCGUUAAACAUUAUCAGGUGAGUGUGUAUGAUAACAAGUUGUCCGUACUC